AGGGGCAGCAUAAUAAGUAGCAAUACUUAUGAUGGCGACCGGCGCACGGGUGAGUAACGCGUAUGCAACCUACCUUUAACAGGGGGAUAAUCUGAAGAAAUUCGGUCUAAUACCCCAUAAUAUUAACUGAGGCAUCUUGGUUAAUUGAAAGUUCCGGCGGUUAAAGAUGGGCAUGCGUUGUAUUAGCAAGAUGGUGAGGUAACGGCUCACCAUUGCUACGAUACAUAGGGGGACUGAGAGGUUAACCCCCCACACUGGUACUGAGACACGGACCAGACUCCUACGGGAGGCAGCAGUGAGGAAUAUUGGUCAAUGGACGCAAGUCUGAACCAGCCAUGCCGCGUGCAGGAUGACGGCUCUAUGAGUUGUAAACUGCUUUUGUACGAGGGUAACCGCAGAUACGUGUAUCUGUCUGAAAGUAUCGUACGAAUAAGGAUCGGCUAACUCCGUGCCAGCAGCCGCGGUAAUACGGAGGAUCCGAGCGUUAUCCGGAUUUAUUGGGUUUAAAGGGUGCGUAGGCUGUUUGGUAAGUUAGAGGUGAAAUCUCGACGCUCAACGUCGAAACUGCCUCUGAUACUGCCGAGCUAGAGUACAGUUGCUGUGGGCGGAAUGAGUAGUGUAGCGGUGAAAUGCUUAGAUAUUACUCGGAACACCGAUUGCGAAG
rnacentral:rRNA from 1 species